AAUUUGGGGAGGAGAAAAUUGACUGUUUAAAGGCAAAAUUAUGAAGGAGUCUGACACACUGUAAAAGCACCAUAUGCAAAUUCACACACACAAACAGGAAAUGCAUUAAACUUAUAAAGACAAGACAAGCUCAUGGAGUUUAAUGCAUAGACACUGAUUAAACCUGGCUAAGAACACAAACAUAGGCAAUGAAGAACAGCUUUGAUUUCUUUUUGAUUUCUAGAAGUAGUGGUUAUAAUGUAGGCUUACACAUACAGAUAUUACAUAGGAGGUAUUUUUAGGAUAAAAGGGGGAGCUUAUAAAUAGAAAUGAUUUUUAUACAUAUUGCAUUUUGUGCUUUUAAAGGAGUUGUGGCUCAAAUUUGUCUCUGGAGGGUCACGAGCCUUUGGCUAGCGCUAUGAUUAGCCAAUCUACUGUGAGGAUAAUAUGAGUUCAUGAAGGAUUGCACACGCUUACAGACACAGAGUUAAGAAACACACAUGACAGUAUUGAUUCCAGGCAAAAGGCCUUAAAUUCAUUUAGCUUUUAACUGAACUUAAAGAAGGACCAAAGAGGAAGGAAAGCAUAUAUUUUGGUUAAGUCUGAUAAACUAGAAUUAGGAGGUAUUGUUACAUUAAAGGGAGCAAAAUGAAAUAAAAAGGCUAUACCAAAACAGGUGAUAACAUAGGAAAUGUGAGGUUUUAAAAUGAAGUUAGUGUUAACACAUAGGAGUUGUUUCAAGGCAGCAUUUAGCUAUGAUGAAAUGUAUACAGGAGUAAUUGCUUAUAUGCUUAAACUUAAUUGAUUAAAGUGGUUGUUUUCUUUUGGAGUAGAUUAACUUGCAGCAGCGACAACUUGUGCACAGGAUGUUGAUGAUCAGAUAAGGGAAAAUAGAGCGAGCAACUGGACGUGAAAGCAGGGCUUAAAGAGUUCUAAAGGGAUGAGUAACGUUGAAGAGUAUAGAUAAAUACAAGUAAAUAAGUUAAGAAGAUAAUUAGGAUCAGGCUUUUGAUUAAAGAGUCCCAGAUAGGAUAAGUUAGGGAGAUGCAAGAAAAGGUGUUUUGUUUCCUUUGCAGAAGAUCUCGGCGACCACAGGAGGGGCGAGGAUCCUGGAGAUCUCGAGGUUCGAGACCACCAGAGAAGGGUCUGCGUGAGGACACAAUGUAUUGUGACCUCUGGUGUUCCAGAGGUCAUGAGUGGGAGUGUCGAGAAGGGAAAUUAUUUUACUGCUAUAGUUAAAUAAUUGUCAUCAUUACCAUUGCAUUAAUAAUAAAAUCUGGAGGUUCUUGAUUCAGGGGUAGAACAGUGUGUGUCUUUCAGAAAGGCUAAAAGUCACAGGCUGACAGGAAACAGGCUUGCAGAGAGUUUGCACAAGCAGGAAGUUAUUUUAAGCAACAGUAUGAUCAUUGCUUUAACAAUGUAACAGAUAGCUUUAAGAAGGCCUUAAGCAGUUAUGACUAUUUCAUACACAAGGCAUAUCUGUGCUUAUUAAAGAGUUGGAGCUCGGUCAAUCAAUUGGGGGUCGGAAGCUUUGUUCGGCGCGAUGUUCGGACAAUCUAUUGUGCAAGUGACUUGGAGCCAUAGAAGGAAUCGCAAUACAUGCUUACAAAACACUUAUAUCAGGUCAUUUUAUAUUAAGGUUUUAGUAGAGGUUCUUGGUUAAAACAUUUAUUUAGUAGAAGACAUACACAUAGUCUCAGUGAGCUUCUGGUCUGGUAAAAGGUCAGAAGUGCAACAGGUGAAUUGAGAAAGAGCAUUUGAGGACGAGACACAGACAGUAGGUGAAGAGGUGACACAAAGAGCAUGUGAGGUCAACACACACACACACACACACUUUAAAUUAGAUUUAUUUAGAGGAAGAGGUUAGUUAUGUUUGGUUGUAACUACAAAAUUGUCUCGGUAAAAGAGGAACCGUUUCUUGUUGUCUCGACAAGAAAGAGGAA
ensembl:lncRNA